rnacentral:rRNA from 1 species
AACGGGUGCGUAACACGUGAACAAUCUACCUUUUAGUGGGGAAUAGCUCGCCGAAAGGCGAAUUAAUACCGCAUACGAUGGCUUACCUCAUGGUUGGCCAAUCAAAGCCGGGGAUCGAAAGACCUGGCGCUAAGAGAGGAGUUCGCGGCCUAUCAGCUUGUUGGUGAGGUAACGGCUCACCAAGGCUAAGACGGGUAGCUGGUCUGAGAGGAUGAUCAGCCACACUGGAACUGAGACACGGUCCAGACACC